rnacentral:tRNA from 1 species
GCGGAGGUGGCGGAACUGGCAGACGCGCUAGAUUUAGGAUCUAGUGGGGUUUGCCCUGUGAGGGUUCGAAUCCCUCCCUCCGCACCA